AAUUCAGUGUCUGUACUCAGUGGAUGAUUAUGCAUGUUUAUAUUUUAGUAUUUUGAUCCAGCACUUGGGAGGCAUGAAUUUAAAUUGCCUUAUGAUUGUCUUCUUAGCAACAACUGACCUUGUGUUCAAGAAAGCAGAAUACUGAAAUACAUAUAACCAGAAUUUAAGAACAUGCAUUCAGUAAACCACUCUAACAGUUCUCACCAGUAUGCAGUCUACAUUUUGACACAUUUUAGUCCUAAUUUUGUCAGCGCACCGAGUGCAUUAUUAUGUUAUGCUGCGCAAUGAUGAAAGUUUUUCUGACUCUUCCCAUUACUGCAUUUCAGAGAUCGUCCUGGAGUUUAAAUACAAAAAUAUUGAUAAAUCAUUCAUUAUUAAAGCAUUAACUAAUCUGUGAUCUAAUCACUUUUACUUUACCCACUCAAGAUUGUUGUCAAAUGUGACCCUGGACCACAAAACCAGUCUUAAGUCGCUGGGGUAUAUUUGUAGCAAUAGCCAAAAAUACAUUGUAUGGGUCAAAAUUACAAAUUUUUAUUUUAUGCCAAAAAUCAUUAGGAUAUUAAGUAAAGAUCAUGUUCCAUGAAGAUAUUUUGUAAAUUUCUCUCAAAUGUACACUCUCAUGAAGAAAAAAAAAAAGUACAAAAGUCCUUACUGGGGCAGUAUCCUUUUAAAAGUUCUAUAACAUACAAUUUAGGCACUAAUAUGUACCCUCAAGAUACUAUUCACCCUUUUUUUCUUAGAGUGUAUCACAUUUUAUGUAAUCAUAAUCACACAAAGAUGAUGUGGGUGGAGCGUCAAGAUGUUGUGUUGGGAUUCAUCUCUUAUUUGACUUCAGUCUAUUCUUUAGCCAUGCAAAAAUGGCUUCUCUUUUAUACCUACUUGUAAUUUUAGCCAUACAGGGUAAAUCUUUUGCCCAGUCAAUAGCACCAUUGCAGACCACAGAACAUGCCACUGAGAGAGAGCCAGUCAUUCUGUCGUGCAAAUAUGAUAGCCAAGCACGUAGUUUACACUGGUAUCGACAAUAUCCUGGAUCCAGACCUGAAUUUCUGCUUCUUGUUCUUGAAUCAAACAGCGUACUACAUGCAGAACCCCCUUUUCCAAGACUGAAUGGCAGUGUGAAUAAGGUGGAGAAGCAGGUCCAUCUGGAGAUCUCAUCUGCUGCAGUCACAGACUCUGCUCUGUACUACUGUGCCCUGGAGCCCACAGUGACAGGAAACACAAGAACACUGUACAAAAACUCAAUGGGAAGUCCUUAUUAUGUAAAAUGUUAA